AGCUUUGUGCAGUGGCAGUACUGUAGCCAAUGAGGUUUAUCCGAGGUGCUAAUUGAAAACUUUUCCCAAUGCCCUGCCAUGACGACCUGAAAUAUAGCUGGCAUUGGCAAUUUUUGGCAGUCUCUACAGGGA
ensembl:snRNA U4 U4 spliceosomal RNA